rnacentral:rRNA from 1 species
UACGUAGGGGGCUAGCGUUGUCCGGAAUUACUGGGCGUAAAGGGCGCGUAGGCGGCCUGCUAAGUCGGACGUGAAAUCCCUCGGCUCAACCGGGGAACUGCGUCCGAUACUGGCGGGCUUGAAUCCGGGAGAGGAAUGCGGAAUUCCAGGUGUAGCGGUGAAAUGCGUAGAUAUCUGGAGGAACACCGGUGGCGAAGGCGGCAUUCUGGACCGGCAUUGACGCUGAUGCGCGAAAGCCAGGGGAGCAAACGGGG